AGGGUUUGAUCAUGGCUCAGAACGUACGCUGGCGGCACGCCUAACACAUGCAAGUCGAACGCAGUAGCAAUACUGAGUGGCAGACGGGUGAGUAUAAUGUGGGAAUCUGCCUUUUGGUUCGGAAUAACUCGGGGAAACUUGAGCUAAUACCGGAUAAGCCCUUACGGGGAAAGAUUUAUCGCCGAAAGAUGAGCCCGCACUUGAUUAGCUAGUUGGUGAGGUAAUUGCUCACCAAGGCAACAAUCAAUAGCUGUUCUUAGAGGAAGACCAGCCACAUUGGGACUGAGACACGGCCCAGACUCCUACGGGAGGCAGCAGUGGGGAAUCUUGCACAAUGGGGGAAACCCUGAUGCAGCGAUGCCGCGUGAGUGAAGAAGGCCUUUGGGUUGUAAAACUCUUUCGUCGGGGAAGAAAAUGACUGUACCCGAAUAAGAAGGUCCGGCUAACUUCGUGCCAGCAGCCGCGGUAAUACGAAGGGACCUAGCGUAGUUCGGAAUUACUGGGCUUAAAGAGCUCGUAGGUGGUUAAAAAAGUUGGUGGUGAAAUCCCAAGGCUUAACCUUGGAACUGCCAUCAAAACUUUUUAGCUUGAGUGUGAUAGAGGAAAGUGGAAUUUCUAGUGUAGAGGUGAAAUUCGUAGAUAUUAGAAAGAACACCAAAUGCGAAGGCAACUUUCUGGAUCACUACUGACACUGAGGAGCGAAAGCAUGGGUAGCGAAGAGGAUUAGAUACCCUCGUAGUCCAUGCUGUAAACGAUGUGUGCUAGACGUUGGAAAUUUUAUUUUCAGUGUCGCAGCAAAAGCGUUAAGCACACCGCCUGGGGAGUACGACCGCAAGGUUAAAACUCAAAUGAAUUGACGGGGACCCGCACAAGCAGUGGAGCAUGUGGUUUAAUUCGAAGAUACGCGCAGAACCUUACCAACUCUUGACAUGUCCGUCGCGACUCGUAGAGAUAUGAGUCUUCGGUUCGGCCGGACGGAACACAGGUGCUGCAUGGCUGUCGUCAGCUCGUGUCGUGAGAUGUUGGGUUAAGUCCCAUAACGAGCGCAACCCUUACCCUUAUUUGCCAGCGGUUCGGCCGGGAACUAUAAGGGGACUGCCGGUGACAAACCGGAGGAAGGUGAGGACGACGUCAAGUCAUCAUGGCCCUUACGAGUAGGGCUACACACGUGCUACAAUGGGGAAUACAGACGGACGCUAAAGCGUGAGCUGGUGCAAAUCCUAAAAAAUUUCUCGUAGUCCGGAUUGCAGUCUGCAACUCGACUGCAUGAAGUCGGAAUCGCUAGUAAUCGCGAAUCAGCAUGUCGCGGUGAAUACGUUCUCGGGUCUUGUACACACCGCCCGUCACACCAUGGAAGUGUGUUGCACCAGAAGUAGGUAGUCUAACCUUCGGGAAGGCGCUUACCACGGUGUGAUCCAUGACUGGGGUGAAGUCGUAACAAGGUAGCCGUA
rnacentral:rRNA from 1 species